rnacentral:rRNA from 1 species
CGAGUGGCGGACGGGUGAGUAAUGUCUGGGAAACUGCCCGAUGGAGGGGGAUAACUACUGGAAACGGUAGCUAAUACCGCAUAACGUCGCAAGACCAAAGAGGGGGACCUUCGGGCCUCUUGCCAUCGGAUGUGCCCAGAUGGGAUUAGCUAGUAGGUGGGGUAACGGCUUACCUAGGCGACGAUCCCUAGCUGGUCUGAGAGGAUGACCAGCCACACUGGAACUGAGACACGGUCCAG